UAGCAAACUUUGGGGGCUCAAAUGCAAGGUGGUUUUGGAUGUGGCAACCAGUUGCCAAAAACAGAUGGAGGAAGUGAAACCAAGAAACAGCGAAGCAAACGGACUCAGAGGACGGGUGAGAAAGCAGCACCUCGCUCAAAGAAAAGGAAAAAGGACGAAGAGGAGAAACAAGCUAUGUACUCUAGCACUGACACGUUUACCCACUUGAAACAGGUGAGGGUGAGUCAUUUAGAGCAGCCCCUUUUAAAAGUCAAGGAUAUAGGCUGGGGGCAGUGGCUCAUGCCUGUAAUCCCAGCACUUUGGGAAGCUGAGGCAGGUGGAUCACUUGAGGCAUGAGUUCGAGAUGAGCUUAGCCAACAUGGCAAAACCUCAUCUCUACUGAAAAUACAAACAUUUACUGGGCGUGGUGUGGUACACGCCUGUUAGUCAAUCCAGAUUCUCAUAUCUCGGAUGUGAGUUGUAUUACAAGUUUAAGACCAGAAAUUCUUAAGUUUUUCAUAGAACUAGGGCAUAUCUUAAUGAGAACUUAAAGGAUAUUUUGAUAAUAUUUUGCAAUUUCUUGAUUGCAUUUUAAAGUUAUCCUUCACUAGCUAUAACCACGAAACUUGAAGAAUUGCAUAAAUAAAAUCAGGUAUAAAGCAAAUUAGCUUCUUAAUUUCAGAGCUUAAGUAGUCAAGCUGGGUAAAGUAAGCAAGUUGGUAUGUCCAUAAAA
rnacentral:lncRNA from 1 species